CCAGCAUCCUAGAGAGCUGGCGCACCUCCUGGGCCUGACGCGGGCUUCCUGGAUUGCAUAAAGGCUCCUUCUCCUUACAUAGCCAGGGCAAAGGUGCAUGACAACUCUGAGCAAGUCAAAACAACCGUCAGCAGCGGGAAACCUCGAUGAACAAACACCGGGAGAGUGUUUCUGCAGAUCCUGCUUUGUGACUUCGAGUGAAGUGUGGAAGCGCUGGAAGCACUUAGACCCUGCCUGUGCCGCAGACCCCUGGGAGGCACCAACACCCCGGAUCGAGAAGCCCGAUGGGAAAGAAUGUCUGGGAAGGACGUCAUGCCCGAGGCUUGCGUGACAGUUUCCACUCACAGUGCGCUCACUCUGAACCUCUGUGCACACGAUGGGCCUGCAUCUCUUCCCACUAUCUGCUAGGAAACACGAGGGAGGAGGCCAUGAGAACCGUCAAGAAGUUCAUGGACUCAGGAGGACGUCGUGAGCAGUGCUGAGGUCAUGGAAUGUGGGCUGGGACCUUGUGUUUGGUGACAUCCUGUAAGUACUCGGCUCGCUCAAGCUAACUGCCCGGCUGGGAUCACCGCUCUAGGAGGACUCAAGAGUUCAGAUGAGUGGCCCAGGGGCCCGUCAGUGCUGUGCACCUCUCCCCCCAUGGGUGGGGGAGGAGCCUGGGGACUUGGCCAGUCCUGGAGGAGCCCUGAGACCAGGCCCUGUGGUGGGCACCACGGCACGGGGAGGUGCCUGGAGGGCUGGAGCCCACUUGGGGGGCCAUGGUCAGUCAGGGCUGCAGAAGCAGAGAAAUGCGGGAUGCCCAUGCUGGCUGGGACUCGCCCACUGCCCUGCACAUGGCGAGUGAGGGAGAGAGGCAAGGCACCUUUCCAGGGGUGCAUGGGAGGCUGCGGUCAAAGGUCCUGCACACCCGCAUGCGUGCUCACAUCUGUAGCUGCAGACACUGACCCCCAGAGACCCCCGAGCUCAU
rnacentral:lncRNA from 1 species